GACGAAGGGGGCUAGCGUUGUUCGGAAUUACUGGGCGUAAAGCGAGUGUAGGUGGUUGUCCAAGUUUGGAUGUGAAAGCCUUGAGCUCAACUCAAGAAAUGCAUUCAGGACUGGGCGGCUAGAGGACCGGAGAGGAUAGUGGAAUUCCCAGUGUAGUGGUGAAAUACGUAGAGAUUGGGAAGAACACCAGUGGCGAAGGCGGCUAUCUGGACGGUUUCUGACACUAAGACUCGAAAGCGUGGGGAGCAAACAGG
rnacentral:rRNA from 1 species